rnacentral:lncRNA from 1 species
GGAGCGACUAGGGGCACCUGCUCAGGGAAGAGGUCCCCAUGUCCUCCCAGUUCUUGGGGGUUUCUCUGGAUCCGGCCUGAAGAGGCCGACGUAUCUUUUGAACACAGCCAUGCUUUUUAGAAAGCAUUUAGAAAAGGUUACCACGAAUGGGGACUCAAGCAGUGAGCAGAAAUGUGUGCUGUUGUGGGCGCUGCAGUUAACCCGAGUGUAAGAGAAACUCCUGCGCUACUGCAGUCUUGCUGGUCUCAGAGAACGUGUGUGCCUGGGGACAUCCGACCUGAUCCUCCGCAGCAGCUUCCUUUUUACACUCUACUGAAAUACUACUUUGUAGUGAUGAAAGUGGAAAGCCAGUAAUUACGUGCCAAGCGAAAGCUUGACUGGCUUCUUGCUAGCUUUCAUUUUUAUAGAUUUUUUUUCCCUCAAAAUAUGUAUAAGUGAUUGAAAGGAAGUUUACUAUAUCAUUCAACUGAUUGGAUUCCUUCAGAAUUAUAUGCUAAAAAUAUAAGGCAAGGAAAAAUGGAACUCUGUCAUGGUUUUAUGGCUCUUGAUUUAAAGGACGCUUCCCCAACAACUAUAUCACAGAUUGUCGGAUUUUUUGGCACCCUGAAUAUUCUACCAUGUCUCUUCUGCUGUCUGGUGUGGUCAAAUUUAAAGAACACAGACACGGAAAUCAGAGGUGCCUCGCAUUCUUUAUCUUCCGGCGGCAUAUGGAGGUUCCCAUGCUAGGGGUCCAAUCGGAGCUGUAACCACCGGCCUACACCAGAGCCACAGCAACGCGGGAUCCGAGCCGCGUCUGCAACCUACACCACAGCUCACGGCAACGCCGGAUCGUUAACCCACUGAGCAAGGGCAGGGACCGAACCCGCAACCUCAUGGUUCCUAGUCGGAUUCGUUAACCACUGCGCCACGACGGGAACUCCUCAUUUAACUUUUGAAAAAUCAAUCAUUGUAACUUAUCACAAUAACAAAUUAAGAAAGAGAAAUCACUCAAAAAUUUCAAUAGAUGCUGGAAAGAAUUUGGUGAAAUUUGAUAUUCAUUCAUUUGAAAACACCUAUUGAUGCUAAAAGGUGUUAGCUGGAAGGUGACAUCUUACUUGAUGUCAGUAAAUAAGAAAUAAAGGAUACACCCCUUCCGAUAAAAGGUAUCUACAAAACUUCUACCCAAAACAUAUUGGAUGAUGAAGUAUCCCAAAGCCCUCUCUGGGAAAAAGGAAACAAUGUUCACUAUCAUCACUUUUAUUCAACAUUUCACUUGAUGUAAACUAUGCAAUUAAGCAAGAAAAGGAAAGCCGCAAAGAAUGGAAAGAAGAAUGAAAUUAUUAUUAUUCACAGAGUAUAUCAUUGUGUACAUGAAAAUACAGAACAACUCUGGAUCAACUACUGCUAUCAAUAAGUGAAUUUAAUAAGGUCACUAGAUAUACAAUCAGGAUCUUAAAAAAAUCACUUGUAUAUCCAUAUACUAGAAAAA